rnacentral:rRNA from 1 species
UCUAACUUUUGGUGGGGAGCUGAAAAUGGUAAUCGUAAAGUGCAUUGGAUUGCUUGGGAGAAGAUGUGUUUAAGCAAGCGAGUGGGUGGGAUGGGUUUUCGAGAUUUUGAAGCUUUCAAUAAGGCACUUCUCGCUAAACAAGCUUGGCGGAUUCUCACGGUCCAAGAUUCGCUAUGUGCUAAGGUAUUAAAGGCAAGGUAUUUCCCACAGAAUGAUUUAAUGAAGGCUUCGGUUGCUAGGAGUGCUUCGCAAACGUGGGAAAGUAUCAUCUAUGGGCGCUCCCUUCUUAAGGAAGGACUUAUUUGGAGAAUAAGGAAUGAUCUAGUGUCAUUGUGUGGUCUGAUAAUUGGAUUCCGAGAGAGGGUGCGCAAAGACCAGUGGGUGCUCGGGACAUGCACAAUAUCCGAACUGUUGAUGAUUUGCUUGAUUAUUCUGGUUGUGCUUGGGAUUUGCCUACGCUUCAGAGGGCAUUUCAUGAGAGUGACAUUGCUGAUAUUAUUCAGAUUCCGGUGGGAGAUCUUGGUAGAGAAGAUGUGUCGGCUUGGAAUUUUACAAAGAAUGGUUUUUUCACGGUUCAGUCAACAUAUCAUUUGGAGAUGGAGCUGA